rnacentral:rRNA from 1 species
GAUGAACGCUGGCGGCGUGCCUAAUACAUGCAAGUCGAGCGAACAGACGAGGCGCUUGCUCCUCUGACGUUAGCGGCGGACGGGUGAGUAACACGUGGAUAACCUACCUAUAAGACUGGGAUAACUUCGGGAAACCGGAGCUAAUCCCGGAUAACAUGUUGAACCGUAUGGUUUAACAGUGAAAGACGGUCUUGCUGUCACUUAUAGAUGGAUCCGCGCCGCAUUAGCUAGUUGGUAAGGUAACGGCUUACCAAGGCGACGAUGCGUAGCCGACCUGAGAGGGUGAACGGCCACAGAGGAGCGGAGACACGAUACAGGGUCCGACGGGAGGCAGAAGUAGCGAAGGGUCGGAGAUGGGCGAAAGACUGAAGAAGGAACGGAGGGGGAGUGAAGAAGGGCUGCGGAUCGGAAAACGCUGUUAGUAGUGAAGAACAAAUGUGUAAGUAACGAAGCACGUGUGGAGGGUACGUAAAAAGAAAGACAGGGUUAACAAGGU